rnacentral:rRNA from 1 species
UUACGCUGUUAUCCCUAAGGUAACUUUUUCUUUUGCUCAGAAACUUCUGGGUCCAUUAGACUCAAAUCAUUAUAUUAAUCCCCUGUUAUAAAAGAGGGGAGGUUGCCCCAACCAAACCUAGGUAAAGCUCUAUAGGGUCUUCUUGUCCCACUUACUAAUUAAGGUCUCUUCACCUUAAAAUCAAUUUCGAGUUAAAUAAAGAGAGACAGUCUCUCUGUCGUCUAGCCGUUGAUACUAGCCUGCAAUUAACAGGCGAAUGAUUAUGCUACCUUUGCACAGUCAGUAAUACUGCAGCCGUUUAACUAUUGUCUAGG